GGCGGCGCGAAGCGCGGAGCGGGAGCCGGAGCCGCCGCCGCCGCCACCUGCGCGGCAGCCAACAAGGACUCAGUCGGUGUGGCUUGUAAGAGGAAGUUGGCUGUGGUCCUUGCCCCAGGAGGAAGGUCGAGUUCUCCGAAUCGUUUAGAUUGUAAUCUUGCACAGAAGAGUUAUUAAAAGAAUCAAGGGUGAGAGCCCUGCGAGCACGAACCGCAACUUCCCCCAAUAGCCCCAGGCAAAGCAGAGCUAUGCCAAGUUUGCAGCAGAGAAUGAGUAUGUCUUUGUCUGAUGGGCUCAUCCGCGUGCACGCAGACGGGUCGUCCUUGGUGGGAAACAACCCCUUGGCUGCUUCUCUCCUAAGUGUAGGACACUCUCGGGAGUUCAACCAUUUCUGCUGCAGGCGCGGCAGGGAGCCGCCUGUCCCAGCCCCCAGCUCUUCAGAGCCCAUCAAGAACUGUCCCAGGAGGCCCAGGAAAAGCUGGAGGUUGGGAGCUUCUGGGGGGAAGUGACUGGAAAGGCUGACGCUGUCCACUGCACCAAGGAAGACCGGGUGUGACGCAGCUCUGCCCUCCUAGGAUGGUGGUGAAGGAAGAGAAAGAUGGAUGGCGACCUGGAGGGAACUCUCAGAUCCUAAGCAGGACACAAAGCAGCAGUUCUUCAAAUAUAGUCCCCAGACCAGCUGCUUCAUGGCUGCUGGACCGUACAAAUGCGGGUUCCCAGACCCGGAGUCAGAAACUGUAAGGUGGGCUGCCCAUAUGGCUAGAGUCAGCUCUCCAGGGGUUUCAAAUUUCAGACCCCAGAAAACACAUGGGAACCAGGUUCUGUCACCCCCACACUUAACCCACUAUCCCGGAGCAGAAGCACCUCCUCCUGGGGACAUGGGUAUCUUUUUCCUGAACUCUUCACCCCCAGCUCCUAGCUGAUAACAGUUACAAUCUGGCAGGAGAUGCCGUUUGGCCUCUGUCCUCCAAGCCUGCAGGCCCAGCCUGCUCAGAGGAUCUGGGUGGAGCUUGGGAGGCCGAAGCAGAAGGUGCUGUCAGCUGUUGUAGGCCUACUGGGGGAAUUAAGUCUGACCAGCAGCAUUUAUCACCAUGGUGACAAGCAGGUGAGAGAGAAGCAGGGAAGAACUUCCCAUCACCCUCCUUGUGGGGGCUGAGAGUUGAGGUGUUAGGAUCUGGGGUCUCUAGUCACAGGUCUGAACAUAACCAAGGAUGCCCUCAGACAUCUAUGCUCUGCAGCAGCUGCAACAACCGGUCUGCGUGCAGCAAAACCUGCUGGUUUCCUCCAGACCAGCCUGGCUUGAGGAAAGAAAAUCCCCUCUCAGCCCUCUGAAGGCAAGCUGAACAUCUGCAGCUCUGGCCUCAUGACGUCUCCACGUACAAACUUUGAUGACCCCCUUCCUCCACACGCCAAGCCCCAGGCUGACCUUCAGCACCCUGGCCAGCUGCAGCACUCCCUACCCUAGCCUCUAGGUACAGGCCGGGACCCUCUUGCUUCUCUGCUCACCUACACACCAUGAACUGGGCACACAUCUCACAUGCCAUUCUGGGCCAGGCGGCAUAAGCCCUACCUCUCACCUGGAAUCCUUCCCUUUCUGCAGGGGCUUGCUUCUGCCUUGAAGCAUCCUCCCAGUGCUUCUUUCUCCUAGGUUCUCAGGUCUCACUGUCUGCUGCUUCAGAUUACAGCUUGGAGACUGGGGUUGUAAGUCAGUGGUAAGGCAUUUGGCUAGCAUGCUUGAAGCCCAGGGUUGAGCCCCAGGGCAAAAAUAGACAGAACUCAGCUCAGGCUGUUCAGCCUUGUUCACCAAGAAUGUACAUGAUGGUUUCCGAUGUCUCCCACACCCCAGUCAACAACUGGAUACCCACCAGUUCGGUCACUUCCACUAGUCCACUAGUGGGACCCCAGGAUUAGAGGGCAGUGGCCACCUCUGCAGGACUGGUUGUGGACCACUGAUCCCUGCAACAGGCAAUGAUGUCUGACUUAUGGCUCAAUCUCCAUCGUGGAGCUCAAGCUACAGGUCCCCAGCCGUUCUCUGUGCCCUGCAGAACCCUGAGCAAACAUUUUCCCUGUGUAGACCUGUGGCCUCCUCUGCCCAAAGGUAGAUCUGGGGGAUAUGUGAAUCUAAGACAAGAUACAGAAGGUGGGGCCUGCAGGUCUGGGCCUCUGGGAGACAUCUAGAAAGCUUCUUGGUGGCUGGAAAGUCCCAGAUAAAGAACUUUAGGGCCAAUAAACUUGUGUGGAGUUUGUCUUG
rnacentral:lncRNA from 1 species